CACGUAGGGGGCGAGCGUUGUCCGGAUUUAUUGGGCGUAAAGAGCUCGUAGGCGGCUCAGUAAGUCAGGUGUGAAAACUCCAGGCUCAACCUGGAGACGCCACCUGAUACUGCUGUGGCUAGAGUCCGGUAGGGGAGCAUGGAAUUCCUGGUGUAGCGGUGAAAUGCGCAGAUAUCAGGAAGAACACCCGUGGCGAAAGCGGCUCUCUGGAACGGUACUGACGCUGAGACGCGAAAGCGUGGGGAGCGAACAGG
rnacentral:rRNA from 1 species